rnacentral:rRNA from 1 species
GGCUCAGAACGAACGCUGGUGGCGUGUCUUAUACAUGCAAGUCGAGCGAGGCAGCAAUGCCGAGCGGCGAACGGGUGAGUAACGCGUAAGCAAUCUGCCCCAUAUCAGGGAAAUACCCGUGCCAACGCGCGGUUAAUGUCCAGGAGAGUGGCCCUCUGCAUGGAGGGUUGACUAGAGAUUUAUCGGUAUGGGAUGAGCUUGCGUCCGAUUAGCUAGUUGGCGGGGCAACGGCCCACCAAGGCGACGAUCGGUAGCCGGCCUGAGAGGGUGAUCGGCCACAUUGGGACUGAGAUACGGCCCAGACUCCUACGGGAGGCAGCAGUAGGGAAUAUUGCACAAUGGGGGAAACCCUGAUGCAGCAACGCCACGUGUGGGGAAAAGAAGCAUUUCGGUGUGUAAACCACUGUCAUGAGGGAAUAAGGCCCUUAUUCGUAAGGGAUUGAAUGUACCUUGAGAGGAAGCACCGGCAAACUUCGUGCCAGCAGCUGC